GAGUUUGAUCGUGGCUCAGGACGAACGCUGGCGGCGCGCCUAACACAUGCAAGUCGAACGAGCGAGAGAGAGCUUGCUUUCUCGAGCGAGUGGCGAACGGGUGAGUAACGCGUGAGGAACCUGCCUCAAAGAGGGGGACAACAGUUGGAAACGACUGCUAAUACCGCAUAAGCCCACGGUGCCGCAUGGCACAGAGGGAAAAGGAGCAAUCCGCUUUGAGAUGGCCUCGCGUCCGAUUAGCUAGUUGGUGAGGUAAUGGCCCACCAAGGCAACGAUCGGUAGCCGGACUGAGAGGUUGAACGGCCACAUUGGGACUGAGACACGGCCCAGACUCCUACGGGAGGCAGCAGUGGGAAUAUUGCACAAUGGGGGAAACCCUGAUGCAGCGACGCCGCGUGGAGGAAGAAGGUCUUCGGAUUGUAAACUCCUGUUGUUGGGGAAGAUAAUGACGGUACCCAACAAGGAAGUGACGGCUAACUACGUGCCAGCAGCCGCCGCAGUAAC
rnacentral:rRNA from 1 species